AUACCAGCACCCCGAGUGGUCGGGACGAUUAUUGGGCCUAAAGCAUCCGUAGCCGGUCCUGCAAGUCCUCCGUUAAAUCCACCCGCUCAACGGUUGGGCCGCGGGGGAUACUACAGGGCUAGGAGGCGGGAGAGGCAAGCGGUACUCGAUGGGUAGGGGUAAAAUCCACUGAUCCAUUGAAGACCACCAGUGGCGAAGGCGGCGUGCCAGAACGCGCUCGACGGUGAGGGAUGAAAGCUGGGGGAGCAAACCGGAUUAGAUACCCGGGUAGUCCCAGCUGUAAACGAUGCAGACUCGGUGAUGGGCUGGCUUCGUGCCAACCCGGUGCCGCAGGGAAGCCGUUAAGUCUGCCGCCUGGGGAGUACGGUCGCAAGACUGAAACUUAAAGGAAUUGACGGGG
rnacentral:rRNA from 1 species